rnacentral:rRNA from 1 species
GAUGAACGCCGGCGGCGUGCCUAACACAUGCAAGUCGAGCGAUUUACUUCGGUAAAGAGCGGCGGACGGGUGAGUAACGCGUGGGUAACCUGCCUCAUACACAUGGAUAACAUACCGAAAGGUAUGCUAAUACAAGAUGAUAUAAGAGAUUCGCAUGGAUUUCUUAUCAAAGCUCCGGCGGUAUGAGAUGGACCCGCGUCUGAUUAGCUAGUUGGUAAGGUAACGGCUUACCAAGGCGACGAUCAGUAGCCGACCUGAGAGGGUGGUCGGCCACAUUGGAACUGAGACACGGUCCAAACUCCUACGGGAGGCAGCAGUGGGGAAUAUUGCACAAUGGGCGAAAGCCUGAUGCAGCAACGCCGCGUGAGCGAUGAAGGCCUUCGGGUCGUAAAGCUCUGUCCUCAAGGAAGAUAAUGACGGUACUUGAGGAGGAAGCCCCGGCUAACUACGUGCCAGCAGCCGCGGUAAUAC